CCGAGGCUACAUUCCAUACUCAGCCUUGGGAAUCAAGCAAGAGCCCCAAGAAAUCAGUAGGAAGAAAAAUAGGUGAAAGUAGAAACUUGGAAGAAAUCCACCCCUUCAGACAAAUCCAGUUUCCAAAGGACACGAGUCUUCCUCUCUCCAGAUGAGAGAUUCAAGCUAAUUUUACUCAAAUCUCCAGAGGACAGGAUGGAGAAUCGGAUGCUUAUGGGAAUGGUUUACUCAAAGUUUCAUAACUAGAAGCAAUAGUACAAGAUGCCAACCUAUUUUAAAAGUCACUUCCUGAGCUGGCUUCCUUUCUGUAUUGUCACAGCACCUUCUGGACUGGACUGUGUCUGAAGCUGGACUUACCUUGUCGAGAUCUUGGCCUUGUCUUGUGAACAGUGAGAGUCCUUCAUCAACUGUGCCAGACAGGAUCAUGUUUUCUGCAGCCCCAAAUGAGUCACAACCGGUAUAUCUCUGUUUCAACUGCUUCAAGCCCCUGCCCUAGCUUCUUUUGUGAGGCAUUUUGCCCAGCAAUCUGGAAUGUUGCAUCAGAAGAUUGAUCAGUA